rnacentral:rRNA from 1 species
AGAUUCCCGUCAAUUUUCUUUGAGGUUCGCCCCGCCCGUCCCCGCGCCCGUCCCGCCGCCCCCGCCCGCCUACGGGAGGCAGCAGGGGGGAAUAUUGCACAAUGGGCGAAAGCCUGAUGCAGCAACGCCGCGUGAGGGAUGACGGCCUUCGGGUUGUAAACCUCUUUUAGCAGGGAAGAAGCGAAAGUGACGGUACCUGCAGAAAAAGCGCCGGCUAACUACGUGCCAGCAGCCGCGGUAAUACGUAGGGCGCAAGCGUUAUCCGGAAUUAUUGGGCGUAAAGAGCUCGUAGGCGGUUUGUCGCGUCUGCUGUGAAAUCCCGAGGCUCAACCUCGGGCCUGCAGUGGGUACGGGCAGACUAGAGUGCGGUAGGGGAGAUUGGAAUUCCUGGUGUAGCGGUGGAAUGCGCAGAUAUCAGGAGGAACACCGAUGGCGAAGGCAGAUCUCUGGGCCGUAACUGACGCUGAGGAGCGAAAGGGUGGGGAGCAAACAGGCUUAGAUACCCUGGUAGUCCACCCCGUAAACGUUGGGAACUAGUUGUCGGGGGCAUUGCACGGAAUUCGAGGCGCAGCUCACGCACUCAGUAGAAUGCCGGAGACUCGGGAAUCGA